rnacentral:rRNA from 1 species
UGGGGAAUAUUGGACAAUGGGCGCAAGCCUGAUCCAGCCAUGCCGCGUGAGUGAAGAAGGCCCUCGGGUUGUAAAGCUCUUUUGUUGGGGAAGAAAAGCAAUCGGUUAAUACCCGGUUGUCCUGACGGUACCCAAAGAAUAAGCACCGGCUAACUUCGUGCCAGCAGCCGCGGUAAUACGAAGGGUGCAAGCGUUACUCGGAAUUACUGGGCGUAAAGCGUGCGUAGGUGGUUUGUUAAGUCUGAUGUGAAAGCCCUGGGCUCAACCUGGGAAUUGCACUGGAUACUGGCAGGCUAGAGUGCGGUAGAGGAUGGCGGAAUUCCCGGUGUAGCAGUGAAAUGCGUAGAGAUCGGGAGGAACAUCCGUGGCGAAGGCGGCCAUCUGGACCAGCACUGACACUGAGGCACGAAAGCGUGGGGAGCAAACAGG